UAUUAAUGAUGAGUUUUUUUUUGUCAGUUCUGCUACUGAAUGUGAAUGACGAAAAUUUUUAUUCUGAAAA